rnacentral:rRNA from 1 species
UGAUGAAAAAUCGGGUCUGCUCAAUGUAAAUAGCCGCAGUAUAUUGACUGUGCUAAGGUAGCAAAAUCAUUAGUUUUUUAAUUGGGGACUGGUAUGAAAGAUUUGACGUGGAAAUAACUGUCUUUUUUAUGAAGUUUGUGUUUAGUGUGAAAAAACAUAAGUGACGAGAAGACCCUAUUAAGUUUUAUUAUUUUAUUGGGGCGGUAUUGAUGAUAAUAGGAUUAAAUUACUAUAGGGAUAACAGCAUAAAAUAUUCAGAGAGAUCUUAUUGAUGAAUAGUUUUGUGACCUCGAUGUUGAAUUAAGUCUUUUUGGUGCAGGACUUUUAAAUACUUACA